UAUCCUACGACUUUGAAUUCAAACAAUACAAUCUGCCCAACGUCUAGCUAAACGAGGUCAUGGAUAAUGGUCUUCUUUCAGCCCGGCCCGCUUCUAUUUGUUAGCAGGAUUAGCAUAACCAUGAAACACAAAUAUGUUGUUAUUGUAUCUAUCUAGGUAGCAACUACUUUGCGUAGCAAUAUUAAACGCACAGGAAGUUCCAGUACCAUGGCUAGCUCGUCUAUGAAAGAGAUAUUUUCAGAUGUCACGCUCACCGUUGAUUUAACCACUUUCAAAGAUCCAGACAUGGUUAAAGAGAUUUUUAAAAGAUCAAAGCACAAAAUAAAACAAAUAACAAAAACUUCACGAUAUCAAGCUGAAGGAUCCUUUGAGGACAUCGAAGAUGUGUUUGUGAAGUUGUCAAGUUUGGAAAGACACACCACUUCUGGGCGCCAACACCAACAACAGGCUCAGAUGUCCCCCGAUCAGGUGAAACCAGUUGACAUACAGAAAACUGUCAUGGAGUACAUGCAACAAAAAUGUUCAAAGGAAUUACGCAAAAUCGAGGGUAAUGAUGUAACAAUAACAACAUCCUUAGGAAAAACAGACAAAACAUUGUUGGUGUCUUUCAAACCUCUCGGUCGAAGCAGUAGCAGCCAGGUUUGUGCUCACUUCGCCCGAGAGAGAUUCAUCACACUCUAUCAGCGCAUAGCAACAGACCUGAGAGCCGUUUCUCACAGCUUGGCAGACCACCACCUGAGCUACUUGCAAAAUAACUUUCCUGAGCUGUGGAUUGUAAGCAGCUCUGGGAAGAUGACCAUGACGGGGCCGUACGCACACAUCAGUAGAUUGGAAGAUUUCUUAAGCAACAGAAAGUCCUCUACUCCGGGGCGAAACCCGACGACGCAGAGACGGACUGCAGGAGCCUCAGGUGUGUCCCCUGUCAGCCACGCCCAGCAGCAGGACGAUUUACAGGAAACCUGCGCCAUCUGCAUGGACACCAUCAACGAGAGACACAGGAAGACACUCAAGUGCAAGCAUUCAUUUUGCACGGGCUGUCUGAAGAGGGCGUUUGAGUUCAAGCCUGUUUGCCCGACUUGUGGGGCGCUGUACGGUGAACUGAAAGGGACUCAGCCUGAGGGGGGUUCAAUGUCCACCAGCACAAGGUCUUCCUCUUUGCCGGGAUAUGAGAAGUGGGGGACUAUCGUUAUUUCUUAUAACAUCCCAAGUGGCACUCAAAAGGAGGAGCACCCAAGUCCAGGACAGCGGUACGAGGGAGCCGCCCGUACGGCCUUCCUCCCCGACAGCCCAGAGGGACGGAAGGUCCUGGACCUCCUGAAGAGAGCCUUCCACCAGCAGCUGGUCUUCACCGUGGGCAGCUCCACCACCAGUGGAAGGAGCAACGUGGUGACGUGGAACGACAUCCACCACAAAACUGCUACACAUGGAGGGCCAACAUGGUACGAGGCUGUAGAAGUGGGGUCAUGUGAUCAGUAGUCACACCUGUCCUUUCAUAAGCCACAGGUGUGAGCUGGCUCUGGGCGUAUAGAUGGAAAGGAACAGACGCUACGGUUACCCAGAUCCUGAUUACCUGAAGCGUGUUCAAGAUGAGUUGAAAGUGAAGGGAAUUCAGUGACUUCUUUGAAAGGGCACACACAUUGGACAUAAGUACGAGCACAAGUUGUGAUUUUGUAAACUCACUAAAUUAAUUGAUUUACAUGGCACACCAAGUAUAAUAUGUUAACUGUCGUUGAUUGUUUGGAAUUCACAAACAGUAUGUCUAUGAAGACGUAUAUUUAAUGACUUACCCUAAAGCUGGCUAGCAUGGGUAACACAACAUGCUGGAUGUCGAGAGGUAAAACAUUGUCGUAUUCAUCGAGAAAAGCUGAUUUCUGAGCAAAUUUUUUGUUUAAUGAACAUAAACAAGUACAUAAGCUACUAUGUUUGUAACUUAUAAAAAGCCAAAAAAGCCAGAAUAAUAUGCAAAAUAAUGAAAACGCAGUAAAAACUGAAUACAGAAAAUAUUUGGCCUCCUUAUUGUUGUGGCAAUAUUUACAAUAUAUACAAUUUGUAUUGUCAUAUUUGCCAUUACUCCAUUUCUAUAAGGCACCAAAUGCUAAAUAGCAUAAUAAUACAUUUUCACUAAAAUUGUGCAGAAAUGACAAAGUCAUUUAGAUCAAAGAAACAAUUAGAUUAAAUAACUCACAAAGUGGACCAAAUCAAAUACACUGUUGAUCAUAUUGUGUUGAGUACUGUGGUCUUCAUUCAACUGCUAAGGUCAUGAUAUAUUUAACAUAGUUCAACUGUUGACUGCAAGUGUGCACUUACUCUCAGUCAGAUAAUGUCAUGUCUUUCUCUCCGUGCGUUACUGUAUCUUGAAAUAGAAAUAAAUUCUAAAACAAUGUACGCCAUCAACAUUUUUAUAAAGUACUUAUUCAAAUGUAUUUCUCCAAACGAAUGCUCUACUGUGAAGAACUGUAAUCACUGAACCAUCAUAAACCCUUUGCAAGAUCACACCCAAUGUUGCUUUCCAGCAGUCGUCCAUUCAAGUUCCUCAUAAACUAGUGAUCGUUUUCCACUGUGCUUUCAUUCAUGAAUCAUUAACAAAUGAUCCAGCCCUGCACCGACAGUAUAUUUGGCAUGACUUCAGCUUGUGAAUGAUCUAAGUGUAGACCUCAUGAACAGUUGAUGAAGGCACUGUUGUGUCUUCAAACUGCUGUUUGGUUCAAGUCUUUAAAUCUAAUCGCAUCAUUUCAUAUUUCAAUCAGAAUCCUUAACAAGGCCUUUACAACUCAUCAUUAGUAACCUAGUGCACUUAUCCUACCCAUUGACUUUGCCCAGGUGCGAAAUAAUGUUUGUUUUAACUGUGACUUGCUCAUAAUAAAUUCUUAUUUUCGCUCA